rnacentral:rRNA from 1 species
CUUGGUCAUUUAGAGGAAGUAAAAGUCGUAACAAGGUUUCCGUAGGUGAACCUGCGGAAGGAUCAUUAGUGAACGCCCUCACGGGCUUAUAACUAUUCCAAACCUCUGUGAACCGUGCCCUUCGGGGCUAUUUUACAAACAUGGUGUAAUGAACGUCAUAUAUCAUAACAAAACAAAACUUUCAACAACGGAUCUCUUGGCUCUCGCAUCGAUGAAGAACGCAGCGAAAUGCGAUAAGUAAUGUGAAUUGCAGAAUUCAGUGAAUCAUCGAAUCUUUGAACGCACCUUGCGCCCUCUGGUAUUCCGGAGGGCAUGCCUGUUUGAGUGUCAUGUAGACUCAAUCCCUUGGGUUUCCGAGGAGAUUGGACUUGGGUGUUGCCGCUCUGCCGGCUCGCCUUAAAAGACUUAGCGGGAUAGCACCGUAGUCGGCGUAAUAAGUUUCGUCGGUGAAGGUUGUGAUGACUGCUUACAAUCGCCCUCGGGCAAUUUUUGACUCUGACCUCAAAUCAGGUAGGACUACCCGCUGAACUUAAGCAUAUCAAUAAGCGGAGGA